AAAGUGGAGCAAUCCAUGAGUAAAGUGGCGACCGGGUGAGUAACACGUGACUAACCUACCUCCGAGUGGGGAAUAACUCCGGGAAACCGGGGCUAAUACCGCAUAACAUCGCAAGAUCAAAGCAGCAAUGCGCUUGGAGAGGGGGUCGCGGCUGAUUAGCUAGUUGGCGGGGUAACGGCCCACCAAGGCGAAGAUCGGUAUCCGGCCUGAGAGGGCGCACGGACACACUGGAACUGAAACACGGUCCAGACUCCUACGGGAGGCAGCAGUGGGGAAUUUUGCGCAAUGGGGGAAACCCUGACGCAGCAACGCCGCGUGGAGGAUGAAGCCCCUUGGGGCGUAAACUCCUUUCGACCAAGACGAUAAUGACGGUACUGGUGGAAGAAGCACCGGCUAACUCUGUGCCAGCAGCCGCGGUAAUACAGAGGGUGCGAGCGUUGUUCGGAAUUAUUGGGCGUAAAGGGCGCGUAGGCGGUGCCACAAGUCACUUGUGAAAUCCCCGGGCUUAACUCGGGGCCUGCAGGCGAAACUGUGGUGCUGGAGUAUGGGAGAGGUGCGUGGAAUUCCCGGUGUAGCGGUGAAAUGCGUAGAUAUCGGGAGGAACACCUGUGGCGAAAGCGGCGCACUGGACCAUAACUGACGCUGAGGCGCGAAAGCUAGGGGAGCAAACAGGAUUAGAUACCCUGGUAGUCCUAGCCCUAAACGAUGAUUGCUUGGUGUAGCAGGUACCCAAUCCUGCUGUGCCGCAGCUAACGCGAUAAGCAAUCCGCCUGGGGAGUACGGUCGCAAGGCUGAAACUC
rnacentral:rRNA from 1 species